rnacentral:rRNA from 1 species
UACGUAGGUGGCGAGCGUUAUCCGGAAUUAUUGGGCGUAAAGCGCGCGCAGGCGGUUUCUUAAGUCUGAUGUGAAAGCCCACGGCUCAACCGUGGAGGGUCAUUGGAAACUGGGAGACUUGAGUGCAGAAGAGAAGAGUGGAAUUCCACGUGUAGCGGUGAAAUGCGUAGAUAUCGGGAAGAACACCCGUGGCUAAGGCGGCUCUCUAGUACGGUACUGACGCUGAGACGCGAAAGCGUGGGGAGCGAACAGG